GGUUAUUGCUAGGAUCGUCUUAUUUUCCUUCUGUUUUUCACCUGUUCUGGUUUAAUCCGGCUCCAUCGGGCUUCUUGUGGGGCUGUGAGGAGCCAAGAGGCAGAACUGCAAUUGAGAAAAGUCGCGAAGAAUGCCUACUGGCCCCCGGGUGCGAGCUCUGAAAGCGAAGGGUAUCCGAAGGAAGGGAUAGGAGAGCUGGACAAAAUGUGGUACUUUAGAAACGUUGACGACUAAGUCGAGCUAAAAAUAAGUGAUUUACUGAAAUGCGUUUUUAUCUUGAAUUUUAUCUUGUAGCUUUCUGCUGCGGAGGUAAUAUUGGAGCUCUUGGCCUGGCUAGCCGUUAGGAGUAAGAGUCAUUCUAGAGAAACGUAUGAGAGCAGUAUAUGCCCACUUCUAAUUCAACGAACCUUUUUCUGAAAAACAUUUUGACAUUGUGAGAGAAUUAAGAAGGAAAUCAGAGACAGGCUCUUGCCAUGUCACCCUGAUCAUAGCUCACUGCAGCUUCAAACUCCUGGCCUUAAGAAACUAUUCUCCUGCCUCAGCCUCCUGUGUAGCUGGGACUACAGGAAUUAUUCUUUCAGCGAUGUUGGGAAAAGAUACAUAGAUCUUGGAAGGUACUUGAACCAUGCAGGGAAGGAAGAGUAAAAUUGAGGAGUUUUUGUCCUAGAGAAUAUCAUUUGUCAGAUUUAUUUGAUCAAGAGUGUGAAGAUUUCUAAAAAAAAAAAAAGUGUGAAGAUUUCUUUAACAAGACAGAGCAUCACCCAGGCUAGUCUCAAACUCCUAAAGUCAAGUGACCCUCCCGCCUUGGUCUCCAAGAUUGCUAAGAUUACAAGCAUGAGCCAUCGCACCUGACCCAAAAUUUUUUGCACGAAAAAUAAACUUGUACUAACUUGUUAGAAUAAUAUCGCUGAAUAGGAAGGAUCUAGUUUGAAGCAGUAAGGAUAAGACAUCAGUUUGGAAAGAACCCCUAUCGCAGCAUCAUGAAAUCUUCUAAAACUGAAGCAAGAACAAAAAUCAAAUUUAUGGUGAAUCUUGGGUGGAAGAAUGGUGAAAUCACUGACGCUUUACAAAAUGUUUAUGGGGACAGUGCCCCAAAGAAAUCAUCAGUUACCAAAUGGAUAGCUUCUUUUAAGAAGGGAUGAGAUGAUGAAAAUGAAGCCCACCAUGGUAGACAUAAGUUUGCAGGAAAAGAAAAUUGACUUCUUCAUGCCCUGAUUAAAGAGGUCCAAUAAUUAAUAGUAGAAAACAAUAGCCAGUACUAUAGACAUCUCAAUUGGUUCAGUUUACACAGUUCUGACUGAAAGAUAAAAAUUGAGCAAACAUUUCACUUAAUGGGUUCCAAAACCUUUGUGCUCAAAUCAGUUCCAGACAAGAGCGUUUUCAAUGGAAAUUUUGAACAAGAUCCUGAAGCAUUUCUUCACAGUAUUGUGACAGGAGGUGGGAUGUGCCAUUACCAGUAUGAUUUUAAACACAAAGCACAGUCAAAGCAGUGGCUACCAAAAAGGUAGAAGUGGUCCAGCCAAAGCAAAAGAGGAUAAACGAAGAGCAAAGGUGACAGCAGCAGUUUUGGGGAGAUGCUCAAGGCAUUUUGCAUAUUGACUUUCCUGGGGCUUUUGGUGGGAUUACAGGCAAGAGCCACAUCUUUCAAUUUAAAUUGUCAUAGCAAUAGAAAGCUACUUAUGCUUGAAAUGGAAUGUUUAUACUUUGGGUUAAAGAACGAGAGUGUUUUGAGAAGCUCAGCGAAAACUUUAGCAGAAAAACACCCACGAAAGCUUCACCAGAGAAUCUACCAGGACAGUGCUCCUGGCAAUUUUGCAAGAGUUUCAGUGGGAAAUGAUUAGACGUCAAUCUAACAAUCUUGAUCUGACUCCUUUUGACUUUGUUUCCUAAUCUUUAAAAAGUCUUUAAAGGCUACUCAUGUGGUUAAAUUCCCAGGACUUUCAGUUCUUUAGGGGUGGACUAAAUGGCUGAUAACUGCUUACAAAGGAUUUUGAACUUGAUGGAGUUUAUGUUGAGAAAUAAUAUUUAUGUUUUUCAAUUUUAUCUUUUAAUUCUAUUUUCCAUGAACUUUUUGAAGUACCUGUCCAAGGGGGGACAUUCUUGGGACUACUUAGGUUGACUUAAGUUGAUUUUCUGUUUCUUAAAUUUAUACAAACAUAAGUUGAUAAAACUGUGUUUAUGGCUCAGCGCCUGUAGCUCAGCAGUUAGGGUGGCAGCUGUGUACACUGAAGGUGGCAGGUUUGAGCCCAGGCUGGGCCUGCCAAACAACAAUGACAACUAUAACCAAAAAACAGCCUGGUGUUGUGGUGGGCACCUGUAGUCCCAGCUACUUGGGAGGCUGAGGCAAGAGAAUAGCUUAAGCCUGAGAGUUGGAGUUUGCUGUGAGCUGUGACACCACGACCAAGGGGGACAUGGUGAGACUCUGUUUUGGAAAAAAAAAAAACUUUGUUUAUAGCCCUAAAUGAAAAGAUGUAUAAAAUAAAUGCAUUCAAAAACCAUAAAACUAAAACACCAUGAGUGGAACAGAUGCUACUGUUUUAUUGAAACAAAAACUAUGGAACAAGUUGCUUGCAUGUACUGUCUUGUGCUUUGUGGUGAUUAUUUUGUCUAAAACUUUUUUCUUUAUAGCCCUCAGGAUUAUUGAAAUGAGGGAAAUGGAUCUGAAUUCUCAAUGUCUUUGGACUGUCUGAAAAUACUAGUCUGAAGAAUUCUGCAUUAACUUACCUCCAAACAUUCUUUUAACAUCAUUGAGCAAUUCAUUGUUUUGAAACUAGCAUUCUUUGAAAAAAGCUUCAGUUUUUAUUUGAGAUAGGACUAGGCUGAGGUAGCAGUUAACUAAAUUGGAUUAAAAGUUUACUAUUUUAGGCUGAGUGCAGUGGCGACUGCCUGUAAUCUUAGCACUCUGGGAGGCUGAGGAGGGUAGAUUGCCUGAGGUCAUAGGUUCAAGUCUAGCCUGAGCAAGUGUGAGACUCGAUCUCUAAAAAUAGCCAGGUGUUUUGGGCGCCAGUAGUCCCAGCUACUCGGGAGGCUCAGGCAAGAGAAUCACUUGAGCCUAAGAGUUUGAGGUUGCAGUGAGCUAUGAUGUGAGGAUACUCUACCGAGGGCAAGAAAGUAAGAUUCUGUCUCAAAAAAAGAAAGUUGACUAUUUUGUGAACUAAUGUUUGUUUUUUGUUUAGGAUACACAUACAGGUAGUCCUUGCUUUGCACAGUUCCAACAUGUAUGAAUAUUGUUACCACAGUAGUAAUUGAGAAUAACUUUGCUGCCAGCACUUCCAUCCACAGAUUGUUAUAUAAAUAAAAAAUGUACAUCAUGAUCAGUGACUAGUAACAUUUCUUUGAAAGUCUAUUGGUGACUGGCCAGUGGUCAUCUGUUUUGUUUGCACACAGACAGCAAAGCACAAAGUGCAUUGUAGUUUUGGCUCUGUGUCUUCCAGAGACGAAACUCGUGACAGUUUACAAAAGUGGGAUGGUCAACAAAGAUGUUAGGGCAGCAAUGAAAUGAAAAAUGAUGGCUGUAAGUGAAAUUGGAUGUGAUUAGACAAUUUGAAAGCACUGACAAAGCAAAGCUAGGUUGAGACCCAGGCCUACAUGAAGCUGCAGUACAAAUCAUGUUGAAAAAGUGAUGAAUAUUGAAAAAGUUGCGUCAACACGUUUUCAUCUUUUAGAUAUUCAAUCUCACAAGGGUUCAAGCAAUCCUCUCACCUAGACCUCCCAAAAUGCAGGCAUUAAUUAUGAGCAAGAGCCACAUCUUUUAGUUUAUUUUUUGAAAUUUUUUUGAGAGAGUUUCACUAUGUUGCCCUGGGUAGAGUGCUGUAGCGUCACAGCUCACGGCUUGUGAUUCUCUUGCCUCAGCCUCUGAAGUAACUGGGACUACAGGCACCCGCCACAACACCCAUUUUUUUUUUUUGUCAAAGUUGUUCAGCUGGCCUGGGCUGGGUUCAAACCCGCCAGCUUCCGUGUGUGUGUGUGUGUGUUGGGGGGGGUGGGGCGCGCCAGCUCCAUAACCACUGUGCUACAGGUGCUGAGCCACACAUCUUUUAGUUUAAAUUGUAGUAGGAACAGAACGCUACUUAGGAUUGAAAUGGUGCAUUUACUUCUACUUUGGCUUAAAGACUAUAAUAAACACCCAAAUCAUUUGACUACCAUUCAGGCCAAAGAGAUGACCUUAAUUGUAUUAAAAGAAAAUAGUAAUUACAAGGAGACUGAAAAAGAACAUUUACCGCACUGUGCCUGUGGCUCAGAGGAGUAGGGCACCGGCCCCAUGUGCCAGAGGUGGCAGGUUCAAACCCAGCCCCAGCCAAAAACUGCAAAAAAAAAAAAAGAA